rnacentral:tRNA from 1 species
GCCCUUGUGGCCUAAUGGAUAAGGCAUCGGUCUCCUAAACCGGGGAUUGGGGGUUCGAGUCCCCCCAAGGGUA